ACGGCGAGUGAACAGGGAAAAGCCCAAAUUUGUAAUCUGGCACUUUUUACAAGUGUCCGAGUUGUAAUUUGUAGAGCUGUUAUCCGUACUGGACCAUGUACAAGUCUGUUGAAAAGCACCAUCAUUGAAGGUGAAAAUCCUGUAGAUGAUAUGGACUACCAGUAUAUUUGUGAUACGGUUUCUAAGAGUCGAGUUGUUUGGGAAUGCAGCUCAAAGUGGGUGGUAAAUUCCAUCUAAGGCUAAAUAUAAGUGAGAGACCGAUAGCAAACAAGUACCGUGAGGGAAAGAUGAAAAGAACUUUGAAAAUAGAGUUAACAGUACGUGAAAUUGCUGAAAGGGAAACGUUUGAAGUUAGUUUUGUAUUCGUUGGAUCAGCUUCGCAAGGAGUGUAUUCUGAUGAUAAGCAAGUCAACAUCAGUCUAUGAGUGUUGGAUAAGGGUUUUGAGAAUGUAGCAAUUUAAUUGUGUUAUAGCUUGAGACUUGGAUACAAUGCUUUGGAUUGAGGAACGCGUAGUAAGCUUUGAGCGGAUUCGAAAGGAUCUCCUUACUAUGGAUGUAGGUGAAAUAACUAUAAGCGACCCGUCUU
rnacentral:rRNA from 1 species